rnacentral:rRNA from 1 species
UACGUAGGUGGCAAGCGUUGUCCGGAUUUACUGGGCGUAAAGAGCGCGCAGGCGGUCGUUCAAGUCGAGUGUGAAAGCCCCCGGCUCAACUGGGGAGGGUCACUCGAUACUGAUCGACUCGAAGGCAGAAGAGGGAAGCGGAAUUCCCGGUGUAGUGGUGAAAUGCGUAGAUAUCGAGAGGAACACCAGUGGCGAAGGCGAGUCCCUGGACAACACCUGACACUGAGGCACGAAAGCUAGGGGAGCAAACGGG